GCAGAAGCAGUUUAAUAUUUUACCUGAGCUGUAUGACUGGUGUGUGUUUUUGCUAGGGUUUUUGAAGCGUGAUUGAUUUUCCCGUGAUUUCUUGUGUUACUUUUCUCACGAUCAUGUUUAACAAAUUGUGAUCUUUAAAUUCAUAAGGAAAAGGAAAAACUUAAACCAAAAGAUAACACAAGAGCGGGAUUAAACAGCGGUAUGACAUCAUUUCCGGCUUGCAAAGGGAGAUAAUCAACUUAACAUAUUUAUAGCUGACUAACAACCAAUCAUAGAGCAUUUGUAGUCACGUUACCAUGACGACAAUGCAGUCAUAUCGCGAGAGGAAGGAGGCACGAGAGCGGGAACUGCAUGGUACAAGUAGUCGAGAGGACUCUAUAGUUGAUGACGAGGACACAUGGUUUCGCAGACGACAGGAAAGAGAACGUUACCACACGACUUCCAUUGACCACAACACUAUAAACGAGAUCAAGUCCUCGAUGACGGCAACUACCGGAAGUGGUAAACUUGCGCAGGAAAUCCACGAUGAAUUUCUCACAUGCAAGAUCUGUUUGGAAGGGUACAAGAGUCCAAAAUGUUUGGAUUGCCUCCAUACCUUCUGCGAAGGAUGCAUCGACAAUCACGUAAUGUCAGAAUGUACUUACAAGAAAUACAGCGAUUAUCGAGAAUUUACUUGUCCACUGUGCCGGAAACGAACACAAUUGCCGAUAGGGGGCGUAAAGAAACUUCCGGAUAACUUUCUUGUCUCUAAUCUUUCGGAGCUCGUUGUACGACAACGACCGUCAAAGUUUCCAUUUUGCGACAUCUGUAAACUGGUAAACAGGAAACAUCGAGAGGCGGCGUCCAAAUGCCUGGAUUGUAAUAAGUUGCUGUGUAAACCUUGCGUAGAGCUUCACAGGGAAACGAAGGUCACGAAGAAUCACAGCAUUUUCGACUGCGAGAUAGAGAAAGAUAUAGAAUGUAAAGAACACAAAGAGGAGGCGGUUCGAUUUUAUUGUGAGCCUUGCGAAACAUGCAUAUGUGUACUGUGUACAUUUAAUGAACACAAAGAUCACGAAAUAACUUCGUUCACAGAUGCUGUUGUAAAAUACAAAGAGAAUAUUCAGACACUAUUGGAUAACUGUAAAUCUAAGAUAGAUCUGUAUGAUAUACAGUUAGUAACGCUGGGUAAAUGCGAAUCCCUUAUAAAAGCGGCUGAACAACAAAUAAGAGAUACAGCAAUUCAAUUUAUUGCAGACGUGAGGUCAAGAGAAAAAGAGCUUAUAGAUGAUUUACAUCAAUUGUAUGGCGCGGAAUUAAUGAAGCAUGUUGAUCAAAGAAAUGAGUUACAAGUAAAUCUUGAUGCUGUUAAAAGCACAUGUAGUCUUACUGAACUGGUUCUGAAGGGUAAAGACAUUGAACUUUUGUUGUUGAAAAAGCAGGUUCAAGAAAAACUUACAGCUCUAAAUGACAUUGAACUUAACUCUCUACCUGAGACAGUAGGUAAACAGGUUUGCUUUAUCCCUGGAAAUUUAGAUCUUGGUACUUUAGAGGAUGCUGGAACUCCACGACAAAGUAUGAAUCGCCAGCUGUCCAUGCCUGGUACAAUGCGCAAGGGAGGGAUGCGAUCCGCGUGUGUACAAACUGAAAAAGAAGAGCCACUACCAAAAACGAAGCAAAUUGACGAAGAAACACAAACCGAGGCUGAGCAAAAGGAGAAAGAUGACGAAGGUUCGGAAGAGUCAGAUAGCGUUUUUUCGAAUGUAGAUGACAAAUCAACGGAAACAGAGGCCGUUGAAACGAGUGAAAAAGGCGUGAAUACACGUUCGAGAAGUCUAGUCCACUCUGUUCAAUCUAGCAGUUCCCAGGAUAAUCCGUCUGAGGGUCAAAAUGGUUUCCAGGAUGCACCGUCUUCUCCAGUAGGUCAGCGUCGUCAUCGACGCAGACGAGAACGCUCGAGACAAGAGGUAUCCGCGCCAAUGACAGCUACUAUUACUAACGUUGAGCCUCAGGCACCGCCAGUCAGCAGGGCUCCAGUGCUUUCCUAUAGUAGUAGCAUCGACGAUAACUAUAUGUCCCCAACGGACGGAGGUACAUCGGUAACGCCAGGUCAAUAUAAGUCUUAUAGUCAAUUUGGUCCUCAAGGUGCAGACUUCUUUUGACUUCUGUAAUUUUCAUUUAUCCCAUUAUUCUUUCAUUUACCUAUUAUUGUGUCACAUUAUUUUAGUUUAGUCCCCCCACAUUUUCCAGUAUAUCCCAUAUAUAGAUCUACUAUUGUCAAACCUAUGGUGUUUCCCUUCACCCAAAACACUCAAAUAUAUCUCUAUACACCCCAGUGUGCUCUAUGGAUUACAGUGGUAAAUGUUGUCCUUUGUGCUUUGUUUUGUGUUCGUACAGUAUUGUCUGUUUUCGCCCAGAAAAGAAAGUCACGUGACAAUCCUCACAAAUAUAAAUCCACAAUAAUACAUCUUCCACUCCUCCUUUUCACCACCGGUCAGCAUAGCCCACAGUGCAUGCUAUUUGUACAUGUUUCCUAAAAAUCUUACAAACAUAUAACUAUAUGUUGUUUCCAAAGCUCAAAAAAUUAUUUAUUUUGUUCUAACAAUAUUAAUAGAGCACUUAUUUGAGACUAUAAAUAACUUUAUGUAUCUAUUUUUUAGACUUUCGAUCUGGUAAAACUGUCGUGACCUUGGCCUUUGACCUUGUACCUAACCUCCGUCCUGGUGCUACUACUAUUGCUUCUUGGACUUGUAUCAACGCAAUUAACUUGCCUUUGAUGACAUUAAUAUUGCUCUUGAUGACGUAAUAUUAUGUGCUUUUUACGUCAUAAAUGGCCUGCUGACCAGUGCAUACGUCAUUAUGUACGUCAUGUUUCGUCUGAUUCUCAUGUGCCUGUUACUAAAAUUGCUUGAUAUAUGUGUGAAUGGAUUUUCUUUAGAAUGUGACUGUAUGAUUUUUCGUAACACGACAGACAGGAAAAAAGGGGCCAUGAUAAAGAUGGGAGUUUGCAUAAAAUCGAUUUGAAUGAAAAGGGAUUUAAACUACAUGAAAAUCAAUGGGAGGAGAGAGAAUAUACAUAGACAUGCAUUCCAAAAGUCCGAGCCCCGAUCAACGACCAUCGCAUACUUCAGCUUCGGUAGUGGACCAAGCUCACCCUAGAUACAACAAACCGGGAACGUUUUCAAUGUUGCGCAUGCCCUGAACACAUAUCACGUGUCCAAGAAGUGCGCAUGUGCUCUGUGUAUUAUGUGAAGAUAUUAACUAUGAAACUGAACCAAAUUAAGUCGCUUACAUAUAAUAUCGAAAUUAAAUGGAUGACAAAAGAAAAUAAAUGGAUGCUAUAAUUUAGAACAGUCACUCAAAAGUUUAAUUGGUUAAACUUAAUAAAAAUGUUUAUACAAGAAGUGUGUUAAAGUUAAAUUUAUAAAUGAGUAAUGAAUAAAUCGUGCAAUUGAAAAGCCAUGGUAACAAAGAUGAACUUAUAUCACGAUUAUUUUUUGUUAAGAAUAAAGUCAUUCAGAGACAUUUUUUUACAUGAGUUAAAUAUAUCAGCUUAAAUAAGUCUAAUAGCUUGAAGACAGGGUUACUCAACAGGUUUUGUUUACCUAAUUAGAGCGAAAAUUUUCUCUACACUUAGUGUACUUCAAAACGCUUUUUUAUUUGCGUUCCCUUGCAAAAUUGGUGUCUAUUCUUUAUUUUUUUUUAAUUUCAGCAUUGUUUCAUCGCAGUUAUGUUUCUAGUUCAGCUUGUAUAUACGGUUUUAUUCUGCAUUAGACAAUGAUAUACAUUCAAAUGCUAGAUUUAUAUGUUCGAAAACUUAAUUGUGUUAACAUUAUCCAUGUGGAAUCUUAAUGACGUAGAUCCACAAUUCUAAUGUCAAAUGAUGACGUAUUAAAACAAGUAUUCUUUAGAUUUAUUCUUGAAUUGAAAGAAAAUCUAAUCAACUUCAUUCACAAUUUCAAAUUUGAACAGAUAAAUAUAGCUCUUGAACGAUUCAUUUCAUUUUACAAUACAAAUGUAUGCACAUAAUCCGUAAUCAUUAGGUUAUUUUUUAAAGUCAUUUAUUGUUAUAUAAUAACCACUAGAAUUGGAGUUACCAUGGGAUCAUUUGUUUCAUGAAAUGUUUAUGUGUGUUUAAAUACAAAUCCAUUCACUUAAAUGCUUAUAUUUCCUUUAUUUUUAGAAUUUCAUUUCGCAAACCCCGCCCCCUUCUUUUUGCGGUGAAUUUUAACACCAUUACAUAAUUAGCAUGACACUAUUGUAUAAAGGCUGGCUUUUCACUGCUUUAAUUACUAAGGAAAAGGUUUUGUUAUAUACAUGUAUAAUAACAACCUUUUAUUCAGCUAAUCUAAAGACAUAUUAAUUCCGUGCUUCGCUCUAUAUAUGGGGUGUCCUGAUUUUAUACGAACACCGUUUUUUAACAUAAAUUUCACAAGACUGGAUUACAAUGUAUGCAAACUACAGUAUUUAAUUUGUUGUCUUUGAGUUUUGAAAAUGUGUAAGUUUGGCUGGAACUUGAGCUGGAGUUUUCUUCAAAUGUAGGAACGGAAAUGAGGGUUUAUACUGCCAUUGAUAAAAUCCUGCCUGCAAUCAGUUUUAAGACCAAAACUGAGGCAUUGUGCGUUUCAAAGAACAUGUCCUAACUUAUGACCCCUAUGUUAUGACUAGCAAUACGGAUGGGCAUUUAUACAUUGCAAAUAAAAGAGUCUGCCACGGUAUUUCUUAACUUUUCUCAGGAGAAUGAAUUUUAUAGAUUACAGUAUUUGACUAAAGAUUAAAAAGAUCAAGUUGGUCUCAUGUCCUAAGACUUAAUAUACACUAAGGAUCAUCUAUGAAGUGCAGCCCUGGAUGUCUGAGUUGUAGAGAAUUUAUAUAUUGUAAGCGGCAAUGAAUUUAAACAGCCAGUGUUUAUACUUUAGUGAGUAAAGUUCAAAGUUCAUCUUACUUGUUAAGCAAUUUAUAUUUUAGGCAUGUUUAGUUAUUAUGUGACCAUAUCUGUACCUUAUUUCUAUCAAUAAUGUAGACGGCUUGAUUUAGAUUCAUGAAAGCUAGCCUUAAUUGAGUAUAAGUGCUAAUUAUGUCCAUGAUUAAAGAACAAUCUGAUACAAUAUGUUUUAACGAACUGUAUAUUUUAGCGGAUAAAAAGGCAAACCAUUGAAAGAGAUAUUAUAACAAUAUAUAUCAUUGCCUAUACAUAGAUUACAUACAAUUGUCAUAGUUUACGUGCAUUUAUCGUCCGCAUACAGGCCUGAAGAUUUGCACCACAUUUCUUUCUUGAAAAAUAAGAAAUUUCUUUUUUUUGGUCAAAUAUUUGUACAGUCAGUAAAGGUUAAGGUAUGGUCACACAGAAAAAAAUGGCAUAUUAAAAUGAAAUUUAAGCAAGGGCGGGUUUUUAGUCGUUAUUACGUGAUGUAUAAUGAAAAAGUUAACGGUUAUAGAUUGACUAAUUUGUUUUUUAUGACAUCAAACUGUCUUGAAUUGUGUCUUCUUUUCAUAUAUAUGGAUACUAUCAUAAUCUCGAAUUAAAAUAGUAGUGUUAUAUAGUUAUGUAAAUAUAAAAAUAUAUGAUGUGCAAUUUAUAUUGAAUGUAAUAAUUUUAGAGUAGAUGUAAAUAAUAUAAUUCACAUAUCUGUAUGUUACAUUAUCAACAACACGUGUGCAAUAUUUUACAUGUUAUUGUUAAAGCUAUUACAUUAUAUAGAAAUUUGUGUAUAUACCAUUUAUAUAUGGGUUGUGCUAACAUGCAUUAAAUCAUUUUUUACAAACCCUUAAGUGGCGAACGAAGUUAUGCAGACUUGAAUGUAGUACGAUUUGUAGGUGUUUUUUACACUAAAAAACAACAACAAUUAUUUAAAAUAUCGCGUAACAUCGGUUGCUAUUAAAAUGGUUGCAACUGGAUCAUGUCUGGAAGAAAUUUAACAACUUUUAGUUUUAAAACUUUCUGUGACAUAGUUCUUGUCGUACUGAUAUAUGAAUCUCUUAAUGCUAACAACGAUUUACUUUUAACCGUACGGACCUUAAGGGGUCUGCUAUGGUAGAAUUGUUAUAGUGCAUACGUGUUUAUGUCAAUAUAUUACUCCGUUAAAGGGGUCAUUUUUUACAAUUACUGAGAAUAUAAUAGUUACCGAACUGAACAAAUCAAGCAAAACGAUCGAAAUGAUAAGAUAUUUUAGUUACAUUGCGAGAUUGCGAGCCAGAAGUAAUAAAAUUCUUUGAUAUUAACAAAAAAAUGUGUUUUUUUUUUUAUCAGAACGUUGCUUCUUUGAACAAACAUGUCACGUGAAGAAUUUCAUUUAUUAAAAAACGAUUUAUUUGUUAAAUAUUUUUUCCGCUGUUUAGAAACUUUUCGCGCAUUAUUUUUCGGAAUGUAUCGGUGUAGAAAGGACACAAAGUACGAAUCAAACUGCGGAAAAGUUGAAAAUGUGAUUGCACUGAAAUAGCGUAGCUUAUGUUAAGGGUCUACCUUUCUUUUUCUUAUUUCAAUCUGUAGUUUUUUGCUUGCAAAACAUUGCAUUUUUUUGUUUUGUUUUCUAGUAAAUAAAAUGAAUGGGGAACGUUUUAAAUUCAAUUAAUAUCAUGCGGGAAAAGCCUAAUAAAUAGGAUAUAUUUUGACUCCCGACUGUCGCAAUUUGUUUAAUUCAAUUAUAAAGUACGACAGAAUACUGUUUUAUCUUUUACCAUUUUGUAUCUAGCAAGCAUUUAUCACGUUUAUCAAAAUAAACGGGGAUGUAGGAGACGUUGAUAUCAAAGAACACAAAAGGCUUUCAAAACAAGAAAAGUUAUCUUAAACCCGAAAAGUACGUAACAACGUAACACUCAAUAUAACGUGGUCAAAAUAUGUCCUAAAAAUACAAAUAGUAUUUAAGAUGUCUUGAGAAAACAGAACAAGGUUAGAUUUAUAGCUUAUUAUGACAGUAUGCCUGUUAAAGUGUAUAUUAGAUACUCGUAAAUCAUCACAAUAAAAUGUUUUAUCCAAAUAGUCA